rnacentral:misc_RNA from 1 species
AAAUAACUAAACUCAUAAGCAAAUAGAGUAAAAAUGGGAGAGGGACAGAGUUGGGUCCAAAUUGGUUUCUGUCCACCUGGAUUGGUAUUCCCAUUUCCGUUUUGGGCUUUUAUCCCAUUUCCAAUUAGUACCUGUCCUAAUCUAAUCAUACAAUAAUCAAUAAAUGAAAGACAAUAAAAGCUUAAUCCCAAAAGAUAACAAAAUACUAUAUAAAAUGAACAAAUUAUGAGAUUUUGGCCGCAAGACUCCUACUCUUCAAUUAGCCUCAUAUUCUCCAAUUUCGGGGAACUUGUGCGUCAAUUGUAAGGCCGGAAGACUCGAUGAAAGAGAAUUGGGCCAUAAUGGCCUAGUAGGGAAAUAUGUAGAUAAGGACCAUAGGAGGCAGAUACGCGCACAUGCAAACAAAGGAGAAACAAGAAGUUAAUAUAUCAUUAAAAUUAAUGACAAGACAAAAACUUGAUUUAAUAGACAUAAUAUAAUUAAAGUAUUUCAUGCAGAAUCAUGUUGAGCAUAAAAGCUUGGAGGGAGUAUAUAAAGGGAGUAUUGAUCAUUUGGAACCGAUCAAAUUAUGGCCACGUAGGCAUACGAUUAACAAGUAACGAAAUAAAAAAAAGUAUAGACUUGAGAUAGAUAAUUCCAACCUUUCCAAUAUAAACGCUACUUAGUCGGUUGAACAGGGAAAAACUAGGUCAAGUUAUACUAUUGAACCCAUGAAUGGACACAUUCAACAUGAACACAAGACAAGGAUGUUUUCGGAGAUAUGAUCGAUCAACAUUUCUCAGACCCGACUUAUCAAUAACAAAAAAGGAACUAGUAUUUCUUUGUCAGAAUAACCAAAUGAGAUAACUUAGUUAUUUAAUUAUUGAAGCAAGCAUGUUAAAUAGAAACUCGACCAAACAUAUAUAACAUGAUAUUUACUGGAAAAAGUCACUAGUUUAACAAUGUUUACUACAAUGUAAACUAUGCCAAAACACAUAAAAUAUCCAAAGUAUGUUAUUUCCAAAUCAGACAAAGGUAAAGUAAAAAGAAAUGUUAGUAAAUUAAGGCAUUAUUACAGUAACAUUAAUGUGACUCAUCAAAUUCGAAAUUGAAACCAAAUAGACAGUAUACUUGUUCAAACAAAACCACAGAUUAGGCACAACUUGCUUAUGGCCCUAAAAAAAGAAACAACAGUUUAACCCAAAAUUAAAUUAUUAUAUUUUUUUGGCACAACGAGCCAACACAAACACCAAAAAUCAAAUGGCAUGCUAUUCCAAAAGGUAAGCAGAUCGAAAAGCAAAAAA